AAAAGAUCUCUCACUGCUUCGCUUACUCAAACUUGAGAAGUGGGGCAGGAGAGCAAAGGCAGUAUUUGAGGAGAGGAAAGGUCACCAUCUUGAAGAGAGCCCUCAGAUACAAAGUCAGUAAUGUUAAGGGUGCAGCUUUAGACCCCGGGUCUGGGGCCCACUGCACUCUUGUAGAAGGAAAUUCAAGGCAAAUGAAAAAAAAAAAAAGAGAAACCUUUUGGCUGUUCUGAAUGUGGUAAAAGAUUUCUACGGAAGGACGACCUUAUCACACACAUGAGAAUUUAUAUGGGUGAGAAACCUUUUGGCUGUUUUGACUGUGGCAAAACAUUUAGACAGAAGAGCAACCUGACCACAAAUUCAAGGCAAAUGAAAAAAAAAAGAGAGAGAGAAACCUUUU